rnacentral:lncRNA from 1 species
UUUUAAUUUUACUACUUUUUAAAAGAAAUUGUCAUGUUUCUGUUUAUGGCUGAGUAGUUCUAAAUGUCAAUCUGGCCAGGAGGUCUUUUGGCCUCAUUGGAGCUGCAGGCUGUAGGGUCUUGUUCUUUAUUUCCCAACCAGCUCUCCAUCGCGGUGCUCGCAGGCAACCACUGUGACGCAGCCUCAUGCCUGAUCGUACAGUCCUUAAUCAGAUGAAAAAGAAAGAGAUCCCUGAAAUAAAUCUGAGUCAGCUGAGAAGACAAGAAAGAUGUCUGAAUCCGAAGUAGCACCCCCCCAGUUGGCAAGGAUGAAACACAGUUUCACUUAUCCCGCCACAAAAAUUUGACAGAAUGGUCAAGGUUGGGAAUCACAGGAAACAAGCAUGCCUCACCUACACACUGAACAAGAAGAGAAGCAAAGGUUGCAGGAACUCCACAGGGACAUACUCAGACAGACGAGCAAAUGCUAGUAAAAAAUUAUCCUCUGGGAUCUCUCUGAGAGAGAGAAAUGGAGCCACUGAAAGCUGGCCCUACGAACUGCUAUAGGGUUUGCAACUGCAUCAACAGUUGUGAAACCGAAAAUGGCUAGCCAACAGAUCUAACUGUAUUAGUCUAAGCACCUUCUUCCUUUUCAUUACCUGGAGAAUAUCUGCUAUAGGAACCACAUCUUGCAUGCAUACACUUAGGCAUAAAUCCAGACUGACAAGAAUCAGGAAGAUCUGAAAUAUCUAGACAACAUGAACAUUUUCUAAGGGAUACUGUGGAAGACUUAGCUGGGUUGCCUUGUGUCUAGUCUGGGCUUCUUGGUAAGACACAGGAAGGCAGCUUUGUUAGAUGUUGGCAUGCCUCUUUCUAUUGCUAAUUAUAAGGACCACAUAACAUACUCCACACUCUUUUCUUUCAACAACCUGCUAAUGUUAGAAAAAAGGUUUUAAUUCACGUAGGAAUAAAAGUCAACAAGCUUUUCA